UUGACCUCGGAUCAGGUAGGGAUACCCGCUGAACUUAAGCAUAUCAAUAAGCGGAGGAAAAGAAACCAACAGGGAUUGCCUCAGUAACGGCGAGUGAAGCGGCAACAGCUCAAAUUUGAAAUCUGCCUCUAGGCCGAGUUGUAAUUUGUAGAAGAUGCUUCGGGUGUGGCACUGGUCUAAGUUCCUUGGAACAGGACGUCAUAGAGGGUGAGAAUCCCGUACGUGACUGGCUGCCUCGCCCAUGUGAAGCUCUUUCGACGAGUCGAGUUGUUUGGGAAUGCAGCUCAAAAUGGGUGGUAUAUUUCAUCUAAAGCUAAAUAUUGGCCAGAGACCGAUAGCGCACAAGUAGAGUGAUCGAAAGAUGAAAAGCACUUUGGAAAGAGAGUUAAACAGUACGUGAAAUUGUUGAAAGGGAAGCGCUUGCAACCAGACUUGCGCGCCGUCGAUCAUCCGAGGUUUUCCCCGGUGCACUCGGCGGUGCUCAGGCCAGCAUCGGUUUCGGUGGUUAGAUAAAGGCCUUGGGAAUGUGGCUCCUCCGGGAGUGUUAUAGCCCUCGGUGCAAUGUAGCCUACCGGGACCGAGGACCGCGCUCGGCUAGGAUGCUGGCGUA
rnacentral:rRNA from 1 species